UGCAUAAGAGCCAGAGGGGGGACAUGCCACUGCUUCCAGGAGCCACGUGGAGUGGGGCAAGGCCCGGACCCAGCUCCUUGGCAGGAGCUUGAGGGCUGGGUGUGGCCCCUGGGCUGUAGUUUGCCCACCCCGAUCUAGAAUCAAAACAGAGUUCUAGAACCGAGGACUUGUUUAUUUUUGCUUAUUAAACGAAACCACUUACCCUUUUGGGUACUGUUUUAUUUCCUCUCUUAAUCAGACUAAGCAGAUACAGUCAAGCAAGAUAUUGUUAGAGAAACAGUACAAAAAAGGGUUAAGUAGCAUUCACCCUUUUAGAGUUGUUUGGCUGACAAUACCAGUAUUAAAGUGAGAAAGCAAAAUAGGUCUGCUAGCAAAAAAGCAGUAGUGUACAUUUGCAUAAAUUAGAGCUUUUGAAUUCCCAUUUUAAAGUUCUGUUUAAAUGGGGGAGGGGGAGAGAGAUAACAUGGACCCCAAAAAUUUAUUCAGAGUGCUUAGCACAGGUGAUAGCAUAUCAUUGGAGGAGACAUCUCAGUGCCAUAUUUCUAACACUGUUCCUAUUUUUUUCAUGAUGACAAGCCCUAAGAAGAUGAGUUGGAAGAACAUAGACCUGUUAGUACUGCUCCUAACUUAUUUAUCACAUAACUGUGAAAAUGUCCAAAAAAAAAAAAAAAAAAAAAAAAGCAGAUAUGUCAAGCCAUCUGUACUGGGGCUUAGGCUAACUUGUAAUUCCAUCUUAAGGUUGUACACUGUGAAGUCAGGGACCCCACAAAAAAACUUACUCCACACUCCUUCUCUUCUCCCCCCUUGUCUCUUCCAAAAGUUUGUUGUUCCCUAUCUGCCUAGGCAGGGAACGUUCUGAAAAAUUUCAAGACAGCUGUGAUCAUUUCUCAUCGCUGACUUCAUCCAGAUUUGAAAGUUGCAGACUUUCUGGUAGAACAGGAUUGAAGAACAUUUAACUUUUUGUAAUAAGUGAAUGUUAAAAAAUGUCUUCAUUGGAUUGGAUUGUGAUCUUCAGUACCUUAUAUCAUGUUAAAAACAAUAGUCAAAAUACCAUUUGGAAUUUCACCAUUGUUGGGCUUUGAGGAGAUGUAGCAGCACAUCAUGGUUUGUAGGGACAAGGAGAUACAGACCAUUCUGGGCUGCCUCAUUACCUCAAGGAUAGACAAGAAAGGGAGCUUCUGGGUGUCAGCCGUGGAAGCUACCACAUUCUCAUAUAUCUCUUAGAUCAGUUGAACAGGUAUGUUUAGAUAUGUUUUUGUAGUGCUUUUAACAUGAACGCUUUCUUUCCAGCCUGCAAAGAUAGUCUUGGUUUUACGUCUUUGGUGAAUUUGCCUAAAAUGGCCCAGGGAUUUGCAGUAUUCUAACCUGUUGACCCGAUCACAGGCCAUGUGAUUGUUCAAUAUUUCAUCACCUUCCAAUAUCCGCAAUAGCUUCAUCUUAAUACCAGUUGCAUGUUGCUUGAAGUAAUCCUGCUUCCUGUUUUGUCCAACAUUCUUUCCUCUGUUUAAGACAAAUAACAAAUUAUAGGUAGUAGGAUAACCAGCAGGGAUUGUAAAAAAGGGGUUCUGGAAGUCACGGACAUGGAAGCAUGUCAGCAGUGCUCUAGCAGCACGUAAAUACUGGAGUUUAGGAUUGCCUAGCUGCUCUCCAGUAUUGCAUUGCUGCUUUAGUGCGGCUGGAUGGUCGUGCCCACGGCAGGAACCAGUGCUGUUGCUACCAGCCUGUGGUGCCUAGGGCAACAAAACAACAUUAUCGCACUGUUAAAGUCGGGGAGAUGCUGUAUGAUCAGGUUUUUAAGAGGGGUAUUAAGAGGUUUCCUGGCCUGUAGAUCUGACUUAAGAACAUAUUAAUAUAAAGGUGUGAAAAAUU